rnacentral:rRNA from 1 species
GACAGAGGGUGCAAACGUUGUUCGGAAUUACUGGGCGUAAAGCGCGUGUAGGCUGCCCCGAAAGUCGGAUGUGAAAGCCCUGGGCUCAACCUAGGAAGUGCAUUCGAAACUGCGGGGCUGGAGUCCUGGAGAGGAAGGCGGAAUUCUCGGUGUAGAGGUGAAAUUCGUAGAUAUCGAGAGGAACACCGGUGGCGAAGGCGUCCUUCUGGACAGUGACUGACGCUGAGACGCGAAAGCGUGGGGAGCAAACAGG